UACGUAGGGUGCGAGCGUUGUCCGGAUUUAUUGGGCGUAAAGAGCUCGUAGGCGGUUUGUCGCGUUGGCCGUGAAAUCUCCACGCUUAACGUGGAGCGCGCGGUCGAUACGGGCAGACUUGAGUUCGGUAGGGGAGACUGGAAUUCCUGGUGUAGCGGUGAAAUGCGCAGAUAUCAGGAGGAACACCGGUGGCGAAGGCGGGUCUCUGGGCCGAUACUGACGCUGAGGAGCGAAAGCGUGGGGAGCGAACAGG
rnacentral:rRNA from 1 species